UGGUGACUAUAGCAAGGAGGUCACACCUGUUACCAUGCCGAACACAGAAGUUAAGCUCCUUAGCGUCGAUGGUAGUCGAACUUACGUUCCGCUAGAGUAGAACGUUGCCAGGCA
rnacentral:rRNA from 2 species